UAUUGAGCUCUUUAUCGCCAUCGACGAUCCUUGCCGGGAAAGAGGUAAUGACGUCUCUAUCUAUUGAUUCCUUUUCUCCCUCUUCUAGGCCGACCAUGGACCACAACCUUCGACACAGAUUUCGGUGGAAGAAGGUUGGAUUCCGCUGAAAAUCCUCUUCCCCUGUUUUUUCUAGAUGUGAUUAUCGGGCACGUUUCUCUUUUUGUUGGGGCUUUCUUGCUGCCGGCGCUCGUUGCCGGAGAUGGGCACUUGUCCCCUUUGUCACUCUCGGCCGUCGCCGGAGUCCCAUCGUCGGAGGAUCAUGGGAAAAGGCUGGAGGCCGAAACCCCUGUUUUAUUUCUUUUUUGUUCUUUUUGUCGCUGACCGCCAUGCCGCCACCGC
rnacentral:lncRNA from 1 species